CAGUAGCCGCGGGAACACGUAGGGUGCAAGCGUUAAUCGGAAUUACUGGGCGUAAAGCGUGCGCAGGCGGUUAUAUAAGACAGAUGUGAAAUCCCCGGGCUCAACCUGGGAACUGCAUUUGUGACUGUAUAGCUAGAGUACGGCAGAGGGGGAUGGAAUUCCGCGUGUAGCAGUGAAAUGCGUAGAUAUGCGGAGGAACACCGAUGGCGAAGGCAAUCCCCUGGGCCUGUACUGACGCUCAUGCACGAAAGCGUGGGGAGCAAACAGGAUUAGAUACCCCUGUAGUCCCUGUCUCUUAUAA
rnacentral:rRNA from 1 species